GAUGAACGCUGGCGGCGUGCCUAAUACAUGCAAGUCGAGCGAACAGACGAGGAGCUUGCUCCUCUGACGUUAGCGGCGGACGGGUGAGUAACACGUGGAUAACCUACCUAUAAGACUGGGAUAACUUCGGGAAACCGGAGCUAAUACCGGAUAAUAUAUUGAACCGCAUGGUUCAAUAGUGAAAGACGGUUUUGCUGUCACUUAUAGAUGGAUCCGCGCCGCAUUAGCUAGUUGGUAAGGUAACGGCUUACCAAGGCAACGAUGCGUAGCCGACCUGAGAGGGGGAUCGGCCACUCUGGAAGUGAGACACGGUCCAGGCUCCUACGGGAGGCCGCAGUAGGGAAGCUUCCGCAAUGGGCGAAAGCCUGACGGAGCAACGCCGCGUGAGUGAUGAAGGUCUUCGGAUCGGAAAACUGUGUUAUUAGGGAAGAACAAAUGUGUAAGUAACGAUGCACGUCUUGACGGUACCGAAUCAGAAAGCCACGGCUAACUACGU
rnacentral:rRNA from 1 species